AAAUAGUUUCAUAGAGUGGGCAUUGGUAACUCGACCAUUCAUCAAUAAACGAAAGAUACAAGGAGAAGAGGAGAGGCAAGAAGAGAAGAGAACAGAUGGCUAAACUUUUAUUCACUCCUAUUUUCUUUUCCAUCCUCGUUUUCUCAGCUCUACUGAUGAUAGAACCAAGCAUGGCUCAACCAAAAAAAUGUAACCUUUCCUUCACAAAUGAAAAGUGUAAUCCAGUAACAUGUCCGUUGAAGUGUGCAGCGGAGUACCAAGGUCGGGCUAAAGGAAGCUGCCAAAAGGAUAAUACGGUGCCGUAUCUGGUGUGCGUCUGCACUUGCCUUUGAUGCCUCUUGUUCCAAUUUCCAUUAAUAAAGCAGCAAAUAAAAUUAAACUAAUUUGAGGUGUCUUCCUUAUUAAUAUUAUCAUCGUUACAUGGUUAAAAUAUAUCGAAAUUUCUC